rnacentral:rRNA from 1 species
UACGUAGGGGGCUAGCGUUGUCCGGAUUUAUUGGGCGUAAAGAGCGUGUAGGCGGCCAGGUAGGUCUGCUGUGAAAACUCGAGGCUCAACCUCGAGACGUCGGCGGAAACCAUCUGGCUAGAGUCCGGAAGAGGAGAGUGGAAUUCCUGGUGUAGCGGUGAAAUGCGCAGAUAUCAGGAAGAACACCCGUGGCAAAGGCGGUUCUCUGGGACGGUACUGACGCUGAGACGCGAAAGCGUGGGGAGCGAACAGG